ensembl:lncRNA
GGCUGAGUGAAUCAUAAACUGGUAUUCUCAUAUCAGCAAGUCUGGGAACCAUUAGUACCAAAUUCACUACCUUACACUACUUCACAAGAGCAUCGGACAGCUCUCUAUUCAAUUCAAAGAAAUUUUGGAGGAAGUGUCGCGUAAACUCCAGAUGGUAACUGAGGUGAAAAAUACAGUAACUGCGUUGACUCUACUAGGGACUUCAAAGCAAGAAGAAAAAUGAAAAGAUGGCAGCAGAGGGACAGUCUGACACAUCAGCAUGUGACAUGGAAGUACAUACGGAGAAAAGACAACAAACAGAAGAGUGUAAGCAUGGUGCGUGCCUGGCACCAUAUCCCUUGCCCUAUGAUUUUGUUGGCAGGCUAACUCCUGCAACUGACAUCAGUGGCAGGUUAGGUAGCUGACAAAAGAAGAGCACUGAAACUUGGCAAUCCACCUCACAAUCUGAUUGACCAACAUCAACCAUCAUUUGACAACUUCACUCUGGGUUGCUUCUUCGCAAUCAUAAUCUUCUGAAAGAGAUACAGAUGAAUCAUUUCUACUGCAUGAUCACCAAAAUUUGCCACAUAUAGUAUGCAACAGGAUGUUUCAUGUACUCAAACUCAUAGUAUUUGGAAAGAAGCUCUAAACUUGAAUAGACAAAUGCAAUCAUGGCGUUCAGCCACACAUAACCAAAACAAGUUAGGAACACGUGGCAAGUGAGAGAUUUCAUCUGGGAGCUGUACUAAACACUGGUUUUUCUGGAUUCUAUUCAUUUUAAAUAAUGAAACUGUCUCAUAGUUUAUUUAGCUAUUUCUGUUAUCCUUGCACAACACGUGUUCGUACUAAUGUUGAGGCAGAUGUACUGCAUUUCAUUUUAAAAACCAGCUAUUUUUUUAAGUGUUGUUUUAACAUGCAUGGCAUAAUCACACACACUAUUCAUUGCCUUGAUGCUUUGCUUCUCAGUAAAGAAAACUGGUUGUCCCAGAUCCUACAGAUUAUCACAUCUGUUUUUAUAGCUCAUAAGGAAUAGUCUUUUAAGGACUUAGAACCCAGAGGAAUCCUGAAAUUUUAGCCUUGCCAAUGUUAUCACUUAGCUUGCUUUCACAAAUGCACUUACUUUCACAAAUGCAACAGAAACAUGGACAAUAGCUCAUAUCUGAAACAUCUAUAACUCUUUGGAAAGAACUAAAUACAGCUAAAAAGAAUGUUUUCUGAUUCAGUCUAUGUAAAACCUAUGAGGAUAUCUAAAGAAGCUAAAGGCUUUUUAUCAGCAAGUUUGAUAUUUUUGAAGUCAAGUUUUUUAUUUACCUCACAUACUUGUGUGAUUCCACCUUGCUGACUGGAGAGUUUAGAUUUUUAUCUGAACUAAUUUGGGAAAAAACUGACAAAGGAAUCUUUAACAACCUCAUAAAGUACUGCUUAUAUGAGGUGAAUACACUUGAAUGAAUAGAGAAUGUCAGCACAGGUGGGGCUUUAGAAACUAUUAAACUUUUACUCCAACGACAUAUAGUAAGCUGCAAAAAUGCAAAUAAUGGCAAAUAAAGGGACAAGAAAUGGAAAUAUUGCAAUUUUCUUAUUCCAAGCAUGUGAAAAGGAAAGAAAAAAAACAACAACAAACAUAUUUUAUUUAAAUGUGAUCUAUUAACAGGAUCAUUUAAAUCCUUGAAUUUUCUGACAUUUUGACCCUAAGAGAAGUUCCUUUGGGUAUGGGAUCCAUAAAGCACCAAGCACUCAAACUUCUUAAGAUACGGAGAGCUUCCAGGAAAAACAUGUCUAGCCAAUAAAACAAUCACCAUUCACUGUUUAAUCACCUCAGAGUAUUCUAGAUUCUUGGGAAAUUACUACAGACUUCUCUUCUUUUGGAAUAUAUAUUCAUGCUGCUACAGUAAUGUAGUGUCAAAUGUUGUGUUGAAUAAAAGGUCUUGAAACAGGUACAGACUGAUGAAGAAAAAAAAAAAAAAGGAAGCUUAGACAUAUUUGUUUAAACCAGGUCCAAGUUCUAUUCUGAAGUUACAUGAACAUGAUACUUUUAGACAGUGGCAAUUAUUUCCUCAAGAGUAUUCUAGCACUGAACAUGUGACAAUGAUUUAAAAUAUAAUUUUAUACAAUGCUGUGUUGUAAUUAUGGAUUGAUCUUUAUUUACAGGUCAACUUAGUGUUUGUUUUUCUUUGCCUAUCUCUUCUCAUAAUUGCCAGUAAUGCUAAAGGUUUGGCAUCCUUGUGCUAUAACUAUUUAUAGGGCUAGUCUGAAAAUGUAAGCAUAUGAGGAAGCUGUUUCCUGAAUCUGCCAAUACUAAUGACUCACCAUUCUUUACUUUUUUUUGGAGUAUUUUCUUUUUAAUUAAAUGUGAAAAUAUCUUAUCAAGGCAUUCUAUCUUGCUCACAAAUAUUCUUCAAAAAACCAUGCUAAUGGUUUAAUUGUAGUUCUGCUUCAUAGUCAUCCUAGAUGGUGAGGCAUUAAGUACCUUAAAUUGUACCCAUAUAUGUCUUAAAUAUAUUAAAUGCAAGAUAUACAAAAUAGAAAGAAUAUUUAUUUCCUGAGCUGUGAAAUAAUAAGUGUUUUGUUCUCAAAGAUAUCUACUGCAUAGACGACAGACUUUUGAUUGCUCAGUUGGCACUCACAUCAUGGGAGACUGAAAUUGAAAUUUCUAGAAUACAAGAAUAACAAAUGCACACAUAAAUUCACAUACAUGCGCACACAUGCAUACUGCAAGUAGAUUCAUGUAUAUUAUCCCUGAGAACUUAUGGCCACGUCGAGACAGAUAUUAUGUUACAUCCAAAUUUCCUUGCUUAGACCUGAAGUCUAUAAGUGUUGAGAAUUUCAUGGGGACACAGGGCUGGAAGGACAAGUCAAGACUCUCUAGAUACAAAGCUAGGAAUUCCAUGGCAAUUUUGAAUUUUAAUGCUACUGAUAAGUGAAGAGACAGCCAUUUCAUUUCAUUCACCUGUUAACCCUAAUUAAAAAUAUAUCCAUAAACGUUUUUUGCUGACAUCCCUUCCUAUUUUGAAGUUUUGAAGCUAAGUUCUCACUUAGCAGUAGAGACUAAUUUUGAAACUCCCAUGGCCUUCCUAAAAUGACAGGAUUGUUAUGUUCAGCUCUACAACCUUACACAUUACUAAUGCAACUCAAAUGCUAAAUCCUAGGUUUCACUGCCAUGAAAUAUUCAGCAAUAAUCAUAUGUAUCUGAGCACGUACCUACUUUCCUGCCUGGUUUGUUGUAAAACUUUAUAACUGCUAAGUUAUUUGGAAAGAGAAGUUGGCAUGCCAGAAACUAUUCUUAUUUCAGGUAGUACUAUAUGCUGGAACUAAAAGUAUUGCCAACCCUAAAGACUGAUGGUGUUAAAAAAAAAAAAAAAAAAUAGAAUCAUAGAAUCCUUACAAUUGGAAGGGAUAUACAAAGGUCAUCUAGUCCAACUCCCCUGGUGUGAACAGGAACACGCAUAACUAAAUCAGGUUGCCCAGAGCCAGAUCCGGCCUCUCCUUGAAAGUCCCCAGGGAGGGGUCACCAGCCACAUCACUGGACAAUCUGUUCCAGUGCCUCAUCACCCUCACUGAAAAUACUUUUUCCUUAUAUCCAACUUUAAUCACCCCUCUUUAAGCUUGAAGCCAUUUCCCCUUGUUCUAUCACCACAGACCCUGCUAAAGAUUCUGUUGCCUUCCUUCUUGUAGUUCUCUGUUAGAUAUUGAAAGACCACUCUCAAGUCACCUCAGAGCCUUCUCUUCUCCAGGUUGAACAGCUCCAGCUCUCUCAGCCUGUCUUCAUAGGAGAGGUGUCCCAUCCCUUGGAUCAUUUUUGUGGCCCUCCUCUGGAUAUGUUCCAACAGGUUCAUGUCUCUCCUGUACUAAGGACUCCACAUCUGGAGGCAAUACUCCAGGUGAGGCCUCACCAGUGCAGAGUAGAGGGGCAGGAUCAUCUCCCUCGACUUGCUGACUACGCAUCUAUUGAUGCAACCCAGAUUCAAUUGUACUUCUGGGCUGUAAAGAGACAUUGCUGGCUCAUGUUCAACAUUAAUCCACCAGUACCCCCACGUCUUUUUUGGCAGAGCUGCACUCAGACAUCCCUCAUUCAUCCCCAUUUCAUCCCCCAGAUCAUAUCAAUAGUGAGGGUUGCCUUGAUCUAUGAGCAAGUUCUUGCAUUUGGAUUUGUUGACCCUUAUGAGGUUCACCUGGGCCCACUGCUCAAGCCCAUCCAAGUCCCUCUGCAUUAAAAAAAAUGAAUUAAAAAAAAAAUCUUAAAAAUAGAAUUCUUUAAAAAUAAAAGAACAAUGACAGCAACUUGCAUUUGCUUUUGAUGUCAACAAUUAAACCUAACAAUAUACAGGCUAUUGGAUGACAUUAACUCAGAUAUGCUGACCAGUCUCCCUUGCCUGUACAACCAGUUGAAUGUGUUUAGCUGUUGCUUAUCAUCUUGUUUUACAAUUUCAAGGAAUUCUGGAUUUACUUUUCAACUGUAUUUUAUCAGCACCUAGCACAAUAGGGCCCACAUCCAUAUCUAGGAUUCCUGGACACCUUGAUAAUUCAAGUGGUAGUAAGAAUAAUAAAUUGCACGUUUUCAAGAUUGGUGAAAAACUUUCUGACAUAAGGAAAGCAUAUGUGUUUCAGACCACAGAAAAUGUUUAAUACAUAGUCAUUAUAAAUCCCAGAAGUGAUCAAUUUAUAAUGAGAAAUGUUUGUACAUGAGCAGUGCUGCCAUGCCACUGAAAUAUAACACAGUGAUUCAGUAUGUGCACAGACCUCCAGUGGACAAAUGCAUACUGACUUAUUCCAUGCCAUACUUACAUUUUUUACUGAAAUAUUCUUAAUUGCUAACAGAAAUGCCAUCAUCUACUGCAGCUUGAUUUUCUCUAACUAGAUUUCUCAUGUCAGUAACAUAUUUGCAGCAGCAGAAUUCAUCCAAGUUCUUGCUUUGUCAAUAUUUGAUCUUUAAAAUUUAUUCUAUGUUUCUAGCCUAAGCGCUUUCUUCUGCAGAAAAUAAAGUAAUCAGAUUUCAUGAGAGCUGGGUUAUUGCACACUUGAAUGUAGCUCUUGGAGGAAGCUCAUAAAGGAAAUAGAAGUCUGUAACUUGCUCCAAAUUCCCUUCAGGGCCCCUAGUUCUUUGAUUUAAUCUUGAAACAGUCAAGACUUUUAGCCAUUUUUCAGACACGAAUAGGUUAUGGCAUCAAAUGCACUUCAGGGAAGUACAUUGUGACUUUAUAUUGAUCUCUAGUCCAUCUUGAUAUAUUUUCUCCCACAGUUUAUAAGCUUCCUCCCAUGCCAUUGAUACUGACAAGUUAGUUUAGUAGAAGUGUUAGCCAUCCAUUUUAGAAACUGGAGCAAUAAUCUAAAUGAAAUGUUACACAGUGAGGCAUUUUCCUCUGAACCUCCAUAUAUUUGUGUUCUACAUUUAAGUGUCUAAAAGGGAAAGAAACAUGCUAGUAACUUGGUCAGCUUGCUAACAUUUUGCUAUUGAUUAGAUAGAAUAUGUUUCCUAGAUAUCAUGCAAACUCUAUUUUUCUGCCAAAUAAGAACCCUACCUAACAUAAUCCUGAAAGCCAAAUGCUGGCUUUUUUCAUUAUGCAGAGGGAAGUUAGAUUAAAUUCAAGCCAAUUUUUUUAAGAAAUAUUACAUCA